AAAGUACUGAGCCAUGACAAGACACCGUGGACACGUAACAUAUUUAGAUACCAAGAACAAUGUGACAAUACCAUUAUCUGAACUAGAAAUAUAGUGAUGUGUUUGAUGAGUCAGAGUAACCUACUGGGAAAUCCUAAAACAACCUAGUUGAAAGAGCCGUGGUCUUCUAAUAACCUAAAAGAGGCCCCUGAAGAGAGAAAAUUAUAUUUUGAAGUUGGAAGAAGUGGCAAAAUGUGAAAAGCAAGAAGCAAGUAUUACCAGAGACACCUAUGAAAAAGAAAUCUUUCUGAAGAACAUUUUUAAAGUGCCAUAAUCUGUUCGCUCAUGGCCCAUAGUGUUGGUGAGGCCAACACUAUAGCUGCAAGCACUUACUUCAUUUAAGAAGUUUAUCGAGAGCUUUAUAAAUAAAUUCUGUUCUCCAUCUACUAUGCAAAUAAAACUGCUGUAUCUCAUUUUGUGUGUAAUAAAUGUGAAUGCAGAAAGCAACCUUGCUUAAUGAGAUAUCUUGCCCAGGUCAUAAUCUCUUUGGUAUUUGCCAUUCUCCAUCACUAUCCGUUAUUACCUAUCACUCAUCUUCAUAGAGCAAAUACAUCAUCUUUCAUCAGGAAAUGGAUUACAU
rnacentral:lncRNA from 1 species